rnacentral:rRNA from 1 species
AUUGAACGCUGGCGGCAGGCCUAACACAUGCAAGUCGAACGAGUGGCGGACGGGUGAGUAAUGUCUGGGAAACUGCCCGAUGGAGGGGGAUAACUACUGGAAACGGUAGCUAAUACCGCAUACCAUCGGAUGUGCCCAGAUGGGAUUAGCUAGUAGGUGGGGUACAGGCUCACCUAGGCGACGAUCCCUAGCUGGUCUGAGAGGAGGACCGCCCACACGGGAACGGAGACACGGUCCAUACUCCUACGGGAGGCAGCAGUGGGGAAUAGUGCACAAUGGGCGGAAGCCUUAUGCAGCCAUGCCGCGUGUAUGAAGAAGGCCUUCGGGUUGUAAAGUACUUUCAGCGGGGAGGCGUUACCCGCAGAAGAAGCACCGGCUAACUCCGUGCCAGCAGCCGCGGUAAUAC